GACAGAGGGUGCAAACGUUGUUCGGAAUUACUGGGCGUAAAGCGCGUGUAGGCUGCUUCGAAAGUCGGAUGUGAAAGCCCUGGGCUCAACCUAGGAAGUGCAUUCGAAACUUCGAAGCUGGAGUCCUGGAGAGGAAGGCGGAAUUCUCGGUGUAGAGGUGAAAUUCGUAGAUAUCGAGAGGAACACUGGUGGCGAAGGCGGCCUUCUGGACAGUGACUGACGCUGAGACGACGAAAGCGUGGGGAGCAAACAGG
rnacentral:rRNA from 1 species